AAAAAGGGACGGAUUUUACUUGCCGGGAGAUCGGUCGAUGAUUAUAUCUCGUUCUGCAUCCUCUCCCGUCGAAGGUGAAAUUGUUGCAAAUGCAAACCCUACCAUAUGCAAGACCUCGUUUUGCAGGAAUUUGCAACGGCGCAUGGCUUAGAACCUUGAGCGUCCGAGCAUUCUCGUCAUCUGACUAUGGGGACCAGGCACGUGGAGGCCUACCGCGCUUCUUCUCCGAAGUUCUUCCUCCUUCCAAGGGUAACAAUGUGCGCGUGCAAGGUGAUGAAUUCUGGCACAUGACAAAAGUUUUAAGAUUAAGCGCCAAUGACAGGGUAGAGCUCUUUAAUGGGAAAGGGAGUUUAGUAGAAGGGUGCAUACAGAACAUUGAUCGUACAGGACUUGAUUUUGUUGCUUUGAACGAUCCAAAGUUAAUACCUCCACAGAACACUCAAUGGCAUGUGUUUGCAGGCUUUGGUACUCUGAAAGGUGGUCGGGCUGACUGGCUUGUAGAGAAGUGUACAGAACUUGGAGCCAGUAGCGUAACUCCUCUCUUGACUGAACGCUGUCAGUCAAUAUCAGAAAAUCGGGUAGACAGAUUGGAACGUGUCAUUUUAGCAGCAUCUAAACAAUGUCAAAGGCUGCAUGAAAUGAUCAUGAAACCUCCAAUAAAGAUUGAUGAACUUUUGCAUCUUAUUGCUCGCUCCAAGCUCUCUCUCCUUGCAGCAGCCAAGGCUGCUCCUGUUCUUGGUGCAUUGACAUCUUCGCCCCAGGAAACUGGUGGCUUGAUCAUAAUUGGACCAGAAGGAGACUUCACAGAGAAGGAAGUCAAUAUGAUGAUAGAAGUGGGUGCUACUGCUGUUGGUCUAGGGCCACAUCGACUACGGGUUGAAACUGCAACAAUAGCACUUUUGGCCACUGUCAUGUUAUGGUCUGACUCACGGCAAAAUUCUGUCGUUUGACUCAUCAUCACAGGACAUAAGUUAUUUGAACACCUCUUGCGAAAGAAUCAUAUCAUUCAUGCUGCCGAAGUCUUGCUAAUUGGUAUCCUAGUAACAUGGAAGCAUGAAAAGUAGGAGAAAUUCGUAGAUUUUGAAAAAUAGAUAGCGUCCGUACUAGUUUAUAGACAGAGCAACACAAGAUUGCUGGUUGGGGUACCCUGGAUCUCAAGGUGUGUUAUCUCGCAGAUAUUUGCUGAAGCUCUCCUGUCCUGGCUUGAUGUCGUGAGUUGAAUUCAAGCUCUCUCUUCUUUGAAAUCUCUUCAAUGGCUAUGAGAAAGAUCAAGUCAAUCUUUGCACAUGUUGCUUUGCCUGAGAACACCAUUGUGCAGCCAAUUUAUGUGUACUUUUCAGAUUCAUGUGCUUUGUUCUGCUUAGAUAACAGUUAUCACAUGGGAUGUCUUGUAUUUGCCUCCAUGUUUGUCCUCUUACCAUAUAGGUGACGAAAUUGAAAUUUUUGAUGAAGAUGGGAUAUGCUACUUGCACGUGGAUUUUAGAAUAUAUUGAAGAUCAGUCCUCUAAAUUCUCAGACUUUUCCUUUUCAAAUAGUAAAAAGAAAAAGUUUAGGUAAGUUGGGGUUUAAAAAUUCAUCGGCUAGGAUAGCAAGAUCUAAAUCUAGAUCUUUGUGAAGUAUAAAUCGCGAUUUUACAAUUUAAAUUGUCAAUUAAUUCAUCAGCUAGGUGUUAGUGUUG